GGUCUGAGUUUCAGUGUUCCGGACAGGGUGUCUAUUCCACCUAGCUUAAGGAAUAUUUUCAAGGAGGUGAAAAAUAAUAUACCAGGAUUCCAACAUCCAG